AACGUUAACUUUAACGUCACACGACAUUCAUGUGAAGCUGAACUCACCUGACUGAAACACUGCAGGUGAAGGUGGAAUAAAACUUCCCUCCAACUGCAACGACGCUGCUUCAGUCGCUGAUAAAAUAUUUUAUUUCUGUCUGACAGUUCUGUAAAUAAAACCUUCCAGCCAACCCAGGCUGCUUCAUAAUGUUAUUCUCUUGUUGUGUAAAUCUCCUUUUAAUGCAGCCAAGAAAAAUCCUGCCUAUUGCAAAGCUGGGAGCUAAAGUGUUAUCAAACUUCUGAGCUGCUCGGGCCAUCUGUUACCCAAAAUAACUCGCGGAGCGGCUUCUCUUCUCCUCACCGAAAUACACUUUUAUUAACAGAGAGAAGCAAGAAGAGGAGGAUGUACACAGCGGAUCUCCUGGGACGCUGAGACGACAUAAGAUGAGUGAAAGAGUGACAUGGAGACCGUGGAGGGAUCGACGCAGGGAGCCAGGAGGGAAAGAAGGCGGGAAGAACAUGGAUAAUAAGGGAAGUUGUGUUUGGUCUGAUUUUGAUUUAGCAGAAAAUGUCUAUAUUUGAGUCAUUUUUGAGUGACACUAGUGACAUUUUACUGCUGUAACUGCUGUUCUGGAUGACAUCAGGUCUGCCAGUCUGGAUCUUCUAACUGUUACAGAGACCAAGUUAAAAACAAACAGUGAUGGAAACUUUGCAGUAACUGUGGAACAGCUUUCCACCGAGCAUCAGCUGACACCGUCGCCGCCGUCAAAUCUCCUCUUAAAACUCUUAUAGAAUAGUUUUUCUUAACAACUGACAGACUUGUCAUGAGCCGAGGUUGAACCAGGAGUAAAACAUUUCAGGACUGAGGCAAAUUAAAUCAGGCAAUUAAAAUAAUACAAAAAUAAAAUGGAAUAAAAUCCCCAAGAAUAAAGAUGUAAAAGAAGAAGAAAGACAACAGUAAUAAUAAAACAGGUAAGACAUAAAAACGCUGUGCUAGAAUAAGAUUCAUUUUAAGAAGUGAUUUAAAAGAUCCGGACUCAGAUUCUCGGGUUGGGAGUCUUGAGUCAGGACUUCAGGAGAGCCAGCGGAGCAGCGGAGCAGCGAUGUAGCCGGGAGCUGAACCAUGAAGUGCUUUAAAUGUGAUCAAUAAGUCUUAAAAUCAAUUCUAAAACUUACUGGUAACCAGUGAAAAGAGGCUGAAACAGGACUGGUGUGAUCUCGUCUUCUAUAAUCAUAAUAAUAACUUUAUUUAUAAAGAAACCUUUUAAA